AACAGCGGCUAACUGGUGCUAAUGUCGAGACAUUUGAGUUGGUAGAAACAGAUCGCAGAGCAGCAAGAAGAAACGAGUGGAUUUAAAGAAGAGAAGAAACUAGUCAACGUGCUGGAUGCUGUUUUCAAGCCUGAAGUUCGCUGAUCCAGAGCAGUCUUUCCACAAAUAUGUCUGAAGUCCAACAGCUCAGUGACACGUUGAAACUACAGCUAACACCUGCUGAUGAAGGAAUGAUCACAGACCAGGGAGAAGAAAUGUGUCAUUUAAAACAAGAGAACAAAAGAGAUAUGCAGCCGUUGUUGGUGACGAAAGAACUGAGUGUUGAACAGGAGGACAUUAAAGAAGAAAAGCUGUUUAUAAGUCAGAAGGGAGAGCAGCUUCAGCAGCUGGAGGAGGCAGAUCUCACAAAGUUUGGUUUCACUGUCAUCCCUGUGAAGAGUGAAAAUGAUG